CUACUGGGGUCUCUCUCCAUUCAUGCACAAGUAUUUCACCUUUUACUAAAGAUUCCUGCAGAGGGGAACGUUGACAAGUUCUUCUUAUCUUUGAAGGCUCUGCUAUGGCAGAGCU